rnacentral:rRNA from 2 species
GGUUAAGCGACUAAGCGUACACGGUGGAUGCCCUGGCAGUCAGAGGCGAUGAAGGGCGUGCUAAUCUGCGAUAAGCGCCGGUAAGGUGAUAUGAACCGUUAUAACCGGCGAUACCCGAAUGGGGAAACCCAGUGUGACUCGUCACACUAUCAUUAACUGAAUCCAUAGGUUAAUGAGGCGAACCGGGGGAACUGAAACAUCUAAGUACCCCGAGGAAAAGAAAUCAACCGAGAUUCCCCCAGUAGCGGCGAGCGAACGGGGAGGAGCCCAGAGCCUGAAUCAGCAUGUGUGUUAGUGGAAGCGUCUGGAAAGGCGCGCGAUACAGGGUGACAGCCCCGUACACAAAAGCGCAUGUGCUGUGAGCUCGAUGAGUAGGGCGGGACACGUGGUAUCCUGUCUGAAUAUGGGGGGACCAUCCUCCAAGGCUAAAUACUCCUGACUGACCGAUAGUGAACCAGUACCGUGAGGGAAAGGCGAAAAGAACCCCGGCGAGGGGAGUGAAAAAGAACCUGAAACCGUGUACGUACAAGCAGUGGGAGCACAGGUUUACCUGUGUGACUGCGUACCUUUUGUAUAAUGGGUCAGCGACUUAUAUUCUGUAGCAAGGUUAACCGAAUAGGGGAGCCGCAGGGAAACCGAGUCUUAAUUGGGCGUUAAGUUGCAGGGUAUAGACCCGAAACCCGGUGAUCUAGCCAUGGGCAGGUUGAAGGUUGGGUAACACUAACUGGAGGACCGAACCGACUAAUGUUGAAAAAUUAGCGGAUGACCUGUGGCUGGGGGUGAAAGGCCAAUCAAACCGGGAGAUAGCUGGUUCUCCCCGAAAGCUAUUUAGGUAGCGCCUCGUGAAUUCAUCUCCGGGGGUAGAGCACUGUUUCGGCUAGGGGGCCAUCCCGGCUUACCAACCCGAUGCAAACUGCGAAUACCGGAGAAUGUUAUCACGGGAGACACACGGCGGGUGCUAACGUCCGUCGUGAAGAGGGAAACAACCCAGACCGCCAGCUAAGGUCCCAAAGUCAUGGUUAAGUGGGAAACGAUGUGGGAAGGCCCAGACAGCCAGGAUGUUGGCUUAGAAGCAGCCAUCAUUUAAAGAAAGCGUAAUAGCUCACUGGUCGAGUCGGCCUGCGCGGAAGAUGUAACGGGGCUAAACCAUGCACCGAAGCUGCGGCAGCGAACGUAUCACCCAAGACAACUUUACGGAGUUGACGAUUGACGGAGCGAAGCGACGUCAAAGCGUUCAUUAAAGUCGAGUUGGCUUAGGGAUACGUUCGUUGGGUAGGGGAGCGUUCUGUAAGCCUGCGAAGGUGGCCUGUGAGGGUUGCUGGAGGUAUCAGAAGUGCGAAUGCUGACAUAAGUAACGAUAAAGCGGGUGAAAAGCCCGCUCGCCGGAAGACCAAGGGUUCCUGUCCAACGUUAAUCGGGGCAGGGUGAGUCGACCCCUAAGGCGAGGCCGAAAGGCGUAGUCGAUGGGAAACGGGUUAAUAUUCCCGUACUUGGUGUUACUGCGAAGGGGGGACGGAGAAGGCUAUGUUGGCCGGGCGACGGUUGUCCCGGUUUAAGCGUGUAGGUGUGUGUUCCAGGUAAAUCCGGUUCACUUUAACACUGAGGCGUGAUGACGAGGCACUACGGUGCUGAAGCAACAAAUGCCCUGCUUCCAGGAAAAGCCUCUAAGCAUCAGGUAACAUCAAAUCGUACCCCAAACCGACACAGGUGGUCAGGUAGAGAAUACCAAGGCGCUUGAGAGAACUCGGGUGAAGGAACUAGGCAAAAUGGUGCCGUAACUUCGGGAGAAGGCACGCUGACAUGUAGGUGAAGUGAUUUACUCAUGGAGCUGAAGUCAGUCGAAGAUACCAGCUGGCUGCAACUGUUUAUUAAAAACACAGCACUGUGCAAACACGAAAGUGGACGUAUACGGUGUGACGCCUGCCCGGUGCCGGAAGGUUAAUUGAUGGGGUCAGCGCAAGCGAAGCUCCUGAUCGAAGCCCCGGUAAACGGCGGCCGUAACUAUAACGGUCCUAAGGUAGCGAAAUUCCUUGUCGGGUAAGUUCCGACCUGCACGAAUGGCGUAAUGAUGGCCAGGCUGUCUCCACCCGAGACUCAGUGAAAUUGAACUCGCUGUGAAGAUGCAGUGUACCCGCGGCAAGACGGAAAGACCCCGUGAACCUUUACUAUAGCUUGACACUGAACAUUGAGCCUUGAUGUGUAGGAUAGGUGGGAGGCUUUGAAGUGUGGACGCCAGUCUGCAUGGAGCCGACCUUGAAAUACCACCCUUUAAUGUUUGAUGUUCUAACGUGGACCCGUUAUCCGGGUUGCGGACAGUGUCUGGUGGGUAGUUUGACUGGGGCGGUCUCCUCCUAAAGAGUAACGGAGGAGCACGAAGGUUGGCUAAUCCUGGUCGGACAUCAGGAGGUUAGUGCAAUGGCAUAAGCCAGCUUGACUGCGAGCGUGACGGCGCGAGCAGGUGCGAAAGCAGGUCAUAGUGAUCCGGUGGUUCUGAAUGGAAGGGCCAUCGCUCAACGGAUAAAAGGUACUCCGGGGAUAACAGGCUGAUACCGCCCAAGAGUUCAUAUCGACGGCGGUGUUUGGCACCUCGAUGUCGGCUCAUCACAUCCUGGGGCUGAAGUAGGUCCCAAGGGUAUGGCUGUUCGCCAUUUAAAGUGGUACGCGAGCUGGGUUUAGAACGUCGUGAGACAGUUCGGUCCCUAUCUGCCGUGGGCGCUGGAGAACUGAGGGGGGCUGCUCCUAGUACGAGAGGACCGGAGUGGACGCAUCACUGGUGUUCGGGUUGUCAUGCCAAUGGCACUGCCCGGUAGCUAAAUGCGGAAGAGAUAAGUGCUGAAAGCAUCUAAGCACGAAACUUGCCCCGAGAUGAGUUCUCCCUGAGACUUUAGGUCUCCUGAAGGAACGUUGAAGACGACGACGUUGAUAGGCCGGGUGUGUAAGCGCAGCGAUGCGUUGAGCUAACCGGUACUAAUGAACCGUGAGGCUUAACCUU